AACUUUUAUUUUUUUAAUCAUAAGGGUUUUUUUCUAAUAUAUUUCUCAUCCCCCAGGUACAAUAUAUCUAAUAUAAAACUAGACAACAACAUGCAGAAGUGCUCAAAGUUUUUAUAAAUGAAAAUAGAAGUGCUUCUCCCAGGUUUACCAAAUUAGAAUCAGAACUUCAGCUCUGAAUGCUGGGAGAAAGAAAACCCCAUUCUGUCAUCGCUGAAGGUGUGAUUGCAAUGCGAAGAGCCCUGUAAUCCAGGAACAACUUGUGAAUGUGGGAGAGGAAACGACCACUCAGCCAUGCAUGCUGUACUUAUAUGACAUUUCUUCAAGAUGUGAAAGAUGUUAAGAAGAACUAUCUGCUGAAUAAAAAGAAAUAAAUUGAAAACAAAGCUCGUACGUUGUAUGGAAUGCAGUGAAGCUGCAAGCCCACCCUUUUCAAGGAGUGGGGAGGAUUAGGAGGCACCACUUCUACAGCACCCAACCUGUUCUGCAUGCUGUGAUUUAAAUAUUCUGGAAAGUACCAGAGACACUCAAUUCAUUUCAUCUUGAAAACUGCGAAGGAAGAGGAUAGUUUGUAGGUACCAGGAAUGGGCUCUCAUUGAAAUACAGUCCCAGCGUUUCUCAGCUGAGAGUUUCCUGCUCACCCUGUGCAGUCUGUAGGAAGCAGGACACAGGGGCAAUGUAAAGUUGGAGCUCCAGAUGCCAGGGCCUGCAGCUGCCUCUGCUCAGGGUCAGCCCACAGCACACGGCUGCCUCAGGGCCCCCAGGGCCCCAGGAAGCCACAGGUGCCAACGCGUCUGCAUUGCACAACUUGGAUUCUGGGCACACCGAGAAGCCUGUGGUCCUGAAGCUCUGCAGGUGAACUGGUGGGAAGACUGAGUUUGGACUGCAAUUCAUCCAAGGUUCAUCAAACCAGGCACAUUUUUUACAAAGUGGAUUGAUUUUGACUGAUAAACCAUUUCUGGACUGAAAAACAAGAUAAAGAAAUUGUUGGAGAGCUCUCAGCUGGGUCCUUGCCUGUGGUAUUUGCUGAAAACAGAGGAGGCCAAAAGAGUUCAGAUCACCAACACGGGGAAUGUGUUGGCUGAAGAGACAUCCAUGGACUAAGAUCAAGAUGUUUCAAUCAAUCUCCAGAGGCCUGCUGGUGUCACCAUUUGGGCCAUGUACGCAGCUUCUUCAUUCCUUCAGGAGCACAGCGCUGCACUGCCCCAUGCCCACAUCAUGGCAGCAGUGUCUGCCCUGCGCCCACAACAUGGCAGCAGCUGUUGCUCCAUGCCCACGACGUGACAAUAGUGUUUGCUGUGCACCCACGACAUGGCGGCAGUGGCUGCCCCAAGCCCUCAACAUGGCAGCUGCAGUUUCCCUGUGCCCACAGCAUGGCAGCUGAGGUUUCCUUGUGCCCACAA